rnacentral:rRNA from 1 species
GACGAACGCUGGCGGCGUGCCUAAUACAUGCAAGUUGAGCGCUGAAGGUUGGUACUUGUACCAACUGGAUGAGCAGCGAACGGGUGAGUAACGCGUGGGGAAUCUGCCUUUGAGCGGGGGACAACAUUUGGAAACGAAUGCUAAUACCGCAUAAAAACUUUAAACACAAGUUUUAAGUUUGAAAGAUGCAAUUGCAUCACUCAAAGAUGAUCCCGCGUUGUAUUAGCUAGUUGGUGAGGUAAAGGCUCACCAAGGCGAUGAUACAUAGCCGACCUGAGAGGGUGAUCGGCCACAUUGGGACUGAGACACGGCCCAAACCCCUACGGGAGGCAGCAGUAGGGGAUCUUCGGCAAUGGACGAAAGUCUGACCGAGCAACGCCGCGUGAGUGAAGAAGGUUUUCGGAUCGGAAAACUCUGUUGGUAGGGAAGAACGUUGGUGGGAGUGGAAAGCUCAUCAAGUGACGGUAACUACCCAGAAAGGGACGGCUAACUACGUG